GAUGAACGCUGGCGGCGUGCUUAACACAUGCAAGUCGAACGGAGUUUGUAUGGAAUGAGUCUUCGGACAAGUGAAAUAUAAACUUAGUGGCGGACGGGUGAGUAACGUGUGGGUAACCUACCCUAUACAGGAGGAUAACAGUAAGAAAUUAUUGCUAAAACUGCAUAAGAUUACGAGUUCGCAUGAACAAGUGAUAAAAACUUUAGUGGUAUAGGAUGGGCCCGCAUCUGAUUAGGUAGUUGGUAGAGUAAAAGCCUACCAAGCCGACGAUCAGUAGCCGAUCUGAGAGGAUGACCGGCCACAUUGGGACUGAGACACGGCCCAAACUCCUACGGGAGGCAGCAGUGGGGAAUAUUGGACAAUGGGGGAAACCCUGAUCCAGCGACGCCGCGUGAGUGAAGAAGUAUUUCGGUAUGUAAAGCUCUAUCAGCAGGGAAGAAAAUGACGUACCUGACUAAGAGCCCC
rnacentral:rRNA from 1 species